GUGAAAAAAGCUCUUCCAUAGUUAUUCUUGUUAUACUACAUCAUUCUCCUUUCAUCUGAGAAUAGAACAUGAAGGAAAAUGUUUAGCUCAUUUAGUAAACAGACAGAUAAGUAUUAUUUAGCACAUCUUUAUGAUUUGAAAUAAUUUGUUUUUUGUCUUUUUGAGCAGAACUUCCCCCAAGAGCAAGUGCCUCCCAUAAUUUUAGGCUCGUUUGAAAAAAGGUGGAUUGGUUCACAUGCAUCAUGUGUAACAUUUUGAACUGGAUUAAUGGACAUAUUAUAUUAGAUGAUGCAGAAUGAAUCAUGCAUACGUUAUUGGAGAAUACAGCCAGUCUUUGUUUGUGAAUAAACUCAAAGAAACUGACAGAUGAGGAAGUUCCUCGCAGGAAGACGCAGUAUUCGGCGCAGUCCGGCCGGAUCAUCCCUGCCUCGUCCUGGGGAGGGAAGAAGCGCAGCAGCAGGACUUCACACAAACGAGCCCAGCGAUAGCAGACACAAACCCUGGAGGGAGUGGAGCUCAAGGUGCUGGAGCUUUUGUGUCAGAUCCUGCAGACUGAUUCUCUCUCGAUGGUUCAGCAGUGGCUUCUGUUGGCGAGUGACAGAGGUGAACCAUUUCCCUUUGAUUUAAUUGAUUGAUUUAUUAGCAAUUAACCAAACAGCUGACACAUGGUGAAUGUUCUGCUUUGAAGAGCAUUUAAAGAUCUUCAUGCUACUAUCCUAAACUGACAAAAUGAUGUUUUUGCUGAUGAAAUGUAAAAUGCACAAUCUCUUUUUCCCCAGAAGAUAGUCUGAAAGUGAAGAUUACUUCUAAAGGCUACAAAGUUUGGUGUUUCUCUUGUGUGAAAUCUAUUGUUCUAAUGCAACGUACAAACACUGUAGAUAUUCAGGAGAGGCAUGAAAUUAUUAAGAACCUGAGAAAAGGGAAAUAAUAAUGUAUUAAAAACACUGUCAUAAAAGUAAAUUGCUCAGAAUAUUUUAGCUUUAAUCAAAAAAAAAUCUUUGUUAAAUUUAAAAUGCUUGA
ensembl:lncRNA